rnacentral:rRNA from 1 species
CGGAGGAUCCAAGCGUUAUCCGGAAUCAUUGGGUUUAAAGGGUCCGUAGGCGGGUUUAUAAGUCAGUGGUGAAAGCCCAUCGCUCAACGAUGGAACGGCCAUUGAUACUGUAGAUCUUGAAUUAUUAGGAAGUAACUAGAAUAUGUAGUGUAGCGGUGAAGUGCUUAGAGAUUACAUGGAAUACCAAUUGCGAAGGCAGGUUACUACUAAUGGAUUGACGCUGAUGGACGAAAGCGUGGGUAGCGAACAGGAUUAGAUACCCUGGUAGUCCACGCCGUAAACGAUGGAUACUAGCUGUUCGGAGCAAUCUGAGUGGCUAAGCGAAAGUGAUAAGUAUCCCACCUGGGGAGUACGUUCGCAAGAAUG